UGUUGCGCCUGUCACGCGGCUAAAUUUAGCCGCGAGCAUCGGGCGUCCAUGCUCGCGCCGCGACCAGACCUUGUCUAAAUCUGCGGUAGCGCCCAGAUAGUUGAAUUCUUUCUUGCGCCGCCGCCGCCGGCGCGAAAUGCGAGAAACGCCAGUUUCGCCGUUUCGGCACCGAAUUGCCCAACGACGUAUAAUUAGAAACUUUGCGCGGUGCUACCAACACGCCAAGAAAAAAAAUACGAAUAAUUAACAGUGCAGUUUAGUUUCGGUAGUCGUUAAAUAUGCACGAAUCGUUCUAUAAUAAACAAAGGAUGAUCGUUUGUUUGCCAAAUUACGUCUUCAAUCAUUCUAUGUAGGGGGAAGUCCCGUAACGCCGGACGGCACCUAGCACCGGACACUCGUACUAUUUAAGCUAGUUUAAAUCUUUUCAUUUCCAAAAACAAGUGAAAGGGGUGCGGGGGGCACACAGGUACAGGAUCACUCGUCGUGGCUCGCCAGAAACGCACACGGCCACGGCGGGAGCAGCCGUUUGCUGUUUCAGGCGCAAAAUCACGACGUCACCUAAAUAUCAAUGUAAGUAAUUCUAGUAUAUUUAUGCAUUUACAUUUGAGUGGUAUUCAAAGAUACAAGUAGUACUUGAUUGUUAUCCGUAAAAUGGUAGAAUAUUAUUAGAUUUUUUAAACAAUUUUAGUAGGUACCACCAAAUGAACGAAAAUGUCUGUCCCUUAGCACCGGACACUAAGUUGUCCCUUAGCGCCGGACAGUAAACAUAUUGAUAUUUCUUAUGAGAGAGAGAGUGAGGAGAUGGCUAUGUUGCAGUCAAUGCAUACAUUUAGUAAAUGUAUACAUUUACUAGUCAAUGCAUACAUUCGCUAAAAUUCGUAGUUAAAGUAUUUAUUGUAACUGAAAUGAACACAUUAGCUAGUGGAUGUAUGCAUUCACGGGCUGCUUCUAGUCAGUGUGUUAAAUCCGUUGAUUAAAUCGUUAAAUUCUAUCACCCCACCCCCCACCGCCCUAUAAAUAAUACCAAACAAGGUAGCCUACCUAACCAUAUGACAUAUUUGAAAUGUCCGGUGAGAGGGGUAUGGCACAAAUAUGUGUCCGGUACUAGGUGCCACUUUUUAAAACUAUACUUUUUAUUACCAAAGUUUGAUUGAUAGUAUUAAUUAUUUUUUAACAGAGGUUGCAUUUUUGUUAUUUUAAUUUGAUUUCUAACUUUGUUAUCUACUAUAUGUCAUAAUUUAAUUAACAUUUCUUCAAA